AAAGGUAAAAAUUCAGAGCUCCUUUAGACUUGAAAAGGUGCAGACAUGAUGUCCACUUGAGAAGGGAAACAUCAGAAAGCAAAAGCAGGAAGGUAUGGCACUUCAAACUUACUUGGCUAUGAUCAACAUAUUCUUUAAAAAGACAUGACAGAAGUACCAGGUAGCAAUUAUCACAAGGUAAAAAGAGGAAGGCUCCACACAUGCUUUUGGAGUUGCGGGGUAAGAAUAAAAAUUUUCAUGAGCAAACUAGCACAUUCAUUUUUUCUGGCAUUUUACUUUGAUAGCUCUCACUCAACAACUUGUAAUUGCACAUUCAAAGCUGGGUAAGUGUAUGACUGGUUCAAAUACCAUUAACCACCCUUAUGUGCCAUCUAUCUCAGCUCAACUUUAUGGAGAUAUAAACCAUCAACAUGUUAUGCUGUUCUAUUAACGAGCUCCUGUUUGGUGUCAGGCCUCAAUAAACUGGCACCAAAUUCCCGAUUGAAGCAACUCCAUUCAAGAGAAUGGCCUGCCAUGAAACCUUUAAAAGUCAAAAUUAAGCACAAGUAGAAAAAGCUGGCUUAUCAGGUAAAAACUCACCAAGGAGAAAGCAUCACUUUACAAAAGUUUAGAUAUAAGGGGAAGAGGGCAAAAUCGGACAAAGUGGAAGCCAGAAAGCCAAAUUGAAACAAUCUCAUAGACUUUGAAUGAUUAUAUUAAAUGUGUUAUAGACAACUCGUAGAGAAUUCACAGCAGUACUCUCUUGCAGUUCUGAUGGUGCAAACUGGUUAUCAAAAUCAUCACAAAGGCAUUUGAUAAGAAACGUAAUGAUAGAAAACAAGGAAUAAAGAGGCAAGAGCAUGUGAGGUUAUGUGCUAGUCUAGCUAUGUAACACAGUAAAUCAUAUAAUUUCAUACACAAACACACACAGAGAGAAAGAGACCUCUAUUAUCAGUGAAGUACAUCAUCACCAUUCACUCAUUUCCAAUUAUUCUUCAAGAAUGCUACUGUGGUUCUUCAAUACAGAUUUAUAAUAAACACUACAUGUCCAUUUUAGAAUGUGCCAUACUAGCCUCGACAAGCAUACUACAAGGAUAUAGCAUUAGCAACCUGUAAAAACUGUUCGGCAACCAAUCCCACCAAGAAGACUCGGUCAGAAUGAAAGAACAAAUUUAUCUUGCUGUUGUUCAUGACAGAUGUAAUUCCUAAGAAGUAUAGGUAAUAAAAGGUAUAUUAAAGAGCAAUUUAAGAAAUGGAGCAAUUAACUAAGAAAUAUUUAUUUGACAAUGAAUUUAAGGCAUGACAUGCAGCGCAGCUGUUAAGCAAAUCCUGCAAGAACUACAGGUUAGAGUCACUAAAGUGAAAAAGAAAGUGUUAAAUUUUGAUACAUAGCAUACAUCUUGCAAUUUCUUCUUGCUGCAAUUCUAGAAAAUUGACUGCAACACAUUAUCACCAAUGAAUGUUGUGAUCUCUAAUCAUAAGAUUAUGGCAAAAAUAUAGGUAACAUGACUAAUGCUGACUUAAACUGCAACAAGUAAAAAAUAAUUUGUCCUGAUUCAUCUGGAUAGAAAAUCACAAGGCAGGAGAUAUAAUCCAUAUCCGACAUCAUUAAAUCACCAAAAUAUUUAAGAAAUUAAAUCUUCCAACUUCAAGCCAAUAACAAGUAUAAUUAUAGAUUAGGUUAACCUACUGUCAUGCACCUUCAGAUUUUUUAAUUUUAUAUGCAGCCAAAGUUUACUGACUUAUUAUUGAGGUAUCAAGUAAAAAAGGGUAAUUCAACCUUUCAGGCUUAGCCAAGGUUUUUCAUAUUCAACUAUCCAGUCCAAAGAAACGAUUAGAGUUGAUACUUCAUCUAUUCAUUUUGGAGAAGAAAUAGAGUUAGUUUGCAAUGAGUACACACAUUCAAUUGAAUUGCAAUAAGAAAAUGAGGCAAAAAGAAAAAGAGAAAUCUCCAAGAAAUCUUCAACUGAGCUAUGAAAAGCAAUGGACUGUGAGUGCAAUAGAGGUUUUUCUAACUUUAAUGAAUGAACAGCCUACAAAAGGAUUAUAUAUUGUUCAUGAAAUAUGUUUAAGAGAGCAAAAACUGACUGAGAGUGUCUGUAGUGAGACUGGUGGGUUUCCAACUGCAGCAGCUGAUGAUAUUGUCACCAUGUUCUAGUGUUCAAAAUGACCAUCACUUUUCGAUAUUACUGAUCUGCAAGAUCCAAAUUUGUGUCAAUCAAGCAAAGGAACACUAAUUGGAGACUCAAACAAUUAUCCAGCAUCUUGUGAUGAUUGAAGAUUCCAUCAUCAAUGGGCAUCCAGUUCUGGGGCAAGAUCAAUGUGAAGACUCCUUCCAUGAAGAGGCUGGGGGUAGGAUAAAAAGAUGAAUAGUUUGUCCUUAUAUUUUCAAGAAUAUUUUUUAGUUUUUUUUUCUUUUCUAAUUUAGGUAGAUUUGCAAUCUCCAAGUCCAAUUUUAAGUCAAUGUCAAGUAGGAAUGUUAUGUAGUUAAUUAAAAGUGUACUUCAAAAUAGUUUUAAUGCCUUCUUAUAUAAGAGUUCGAUUUUCUGAACUUGCACAAGGGGCUAGAUAUAGAAACAAAUCUAUCAAAGAGAUGAGUUUCUUAUUGCGAUCAAGCAAUCAACAUUAGCAGAGAUUAAAUCAAUCAAGUUUUCUUUGUCGUUGAAUAUUCGGGUUUGUCAGGAUCCAAAAUAAAUCUCCACUGGAGUAACUAAUUCUUAGCAUUUAGAGAGUUUUGACAGGACAGAUUCUACACAAUCUGGGGUAAGAAUUCUCCUACAUCUCACCCCUAAAAGUUAGUAACAUUUAAAGCUUUCAAGUCUGAGAUUCAACAUAUAGGGAGGAAAGUAUUCAAGAGCAGCAGGGAUAUUCUUUUCUGCUUCAGUAAUUCCAGUAGCCCAUUAAUUUAUGUUAUUAUCCUAUAUGCUACAGGACAUCAAGUAGAGACUUCAUAUUCUAGAAUUGUUCUUGAAAGACCUAGGUCAUUCUUUGUGAGACAAAGUUCAGAAAGUCUGAAACUUGAUUACGGUACCAUGAGUUGGAGAUCAAAUUUGACCCCACAUCACGCUUGUUGUAAAUAAACCAAAUGUUAAUAUGAGGCAUCAGACUAAUAGGAUAAGUGCCACUUAAAGUAAUGGAAUGACUCAAACGAAAGAUGGAUUAAAAUCAAAUGUACACAGACUAUGUCAAUUUCAUUUUCAUUGUGAAAACAAAGGAUACUGACCUAACAACUUCUGCAAUCAAGGUCAUUUAAAUGGAUGAUUUAAUCUCAUGUACACAUGCAAUCAAAGGUCAUUUAGUUAGGUAUGUUGCAUGGCUUCAUAUAUCAGUCAACAGAAGUUUAGCUGCAUAUUACAUGAGCAUGGCACAAAUGAUAAAUGUUAAGGUUGAUAUGUGUUGCUAAUAAGGAUUCAGUAUUGCUGACAGAGGGUGUGCCAGAUAUAGGACUAGAAAUGGGCCGGGCCACAUCCCUAACCAAGGACAGUCUGAAUUUUUUUUGGGGGCUUUGGGCUGUGCUAAGGCCUGAAAACUUUUGGAAACCCAGGAUCGAGUUCAGCCCGAACCCAAUUGGGCCAGCUCAAAUUAUCCAUUUGGGCUCAAACUUGGGCUGGCCCAAAUCUAAUUAAAAAUAUGUGGCAAAUAAUUACAUAAAUGAAUUAUUUCGAUAGACAAGAAAUGCUGGUAUAUUUAAGAGGAAAAGAUAUUUCAUGGAUCGUGUUAGCCCAUGAGUACACAUUAAAUCCAAACAAGUUGCACAAAGAGCAAGAAUAUUAAACAGGAAGAUUAAGGAAAGAAAAAGCAGAUAAGCAAGAGUUUUUCGGGCUGGGUUUGAACCUGAAUUCGGGCUCUAUUUUGGGCUUCGUGCAGGUUCAGGCUCAAGCCAGACUAAUGAUAUUUAUAUCCGAGCCCAACCUAAAAAAUAAAUAGGCUCUAUAUUUAAGCCUAAACCUGGCUUAAAAUUUUUCAGACCUAGCCAAACAGAUACUAGAUGGCACAGCACAGCACUUGCCAUGUUGAUGCAACGGCCAACUUAUGCUGAAACAAAAAUACCAAAAAUGGUUUAAAAAUUUUAUUAAAAAUAAAUUAAAAAUUAUAAGAAAAGGAUUUAAUGGCUGCCAUGCUGACCAUGAGCAAUAGCAAUAAAACAAGGAAGUUUAUUAUCAGAAGCGAAUAAACUAAAGCAAGCUAGUAAUUGACCAAACAAAUUAGGUUGUCAGAAAUUACGAGACUAUUGUACUAAUCCUUCCUUAUAUUUAGGCCCAAUUAUUUUUAUCCUUUGUAGGUGUUUGGUUCCCUCAACAGCCAUACGUUCAACAUCUAGAAAGUAAGUACUAAAUGUCAUUUGAUUAUUGAAUUCGUAUAGUAAAGCAAGAAGCUGGAACGAAACAAAUGUUUUUAGAGGUUUUUGGUUGAAUGCCAAAACAUGCACCUAAAAUUAUGUAAAUCGAAAAUAACAUAAAAAAAUUGCAUAAUAAGGACAUAGCACAAUAUCUAUAUGUAUUCAUCAAUGAUCUUUCACAACACAAUCUCGCUAUGGUGCGUAUCCGGUCGAUAUGCCCUUAUGUCUCAAUAUUUCAAACCUUGUAACUAAGUGUUUGAAUUAGUCAAUGCAAACUAUUUCAUAUUGUUUAAGUAUUUAGAUUAUUUUUUUCAACUUAUGAAUGCUCCUUAUAGACUUCUUGUUAAUGGUCUAAUAGACCACCUAUAGAGUAGAUGAUGAAGGUAGCACCUAGAUUUUUUUGAGCAAAAGGUGAUGAACUACAAAUAUAAGGUAGCCCCCGUAUACCAAGUACAAGGAUAGUGCCUUGGUAUAUUAUAUAAGAAGAAAUAUUUUUUAAAAAAAUCCAUCAAGCUUAGGAAAUAUAGAGAUUGAGUCUCUAUUUUUUAUUUUAAAAACCCUCUGUGAUCCAUUUCAUUGUUCUCUUAAUAGAGACUGCAAGAAAUGUUCAUUAUUGCUGCCAACAAUAGUUGCGACUCCAUUGCUGCUAAAAAGCAGAUGAGGAGGAAGGUUUGAAGAGAGGAGUAGGAGAAUGAAGGCAAAAUAGAUAGAUAUAUACAUAUAUACUUGUGUGUAAAUGAGUGCGUGUGCGCCUGUCUGUGCAAGCGAAAGAGUUGCCAUAUAACAAAAAAAUUUAAAAAAAAUGUUUUCUAUUUUAAUCGGAGCCAUGCUUACAAAUAGCCUCAAUAUGAACAUUAUUGACCUAAAUCUGAUGUUGAGGGGGAAAAAAAAAGGAUGUGAGCUUGGUGGCAAAAGUUUCCACUUUCAGUACCAUCACUGCUAUCGAUUGUGCAAAGUCAAUUUCAGCAGUUACAUCUUAGAAAAUUAUCUUAAUUAGCUUAUUUACAACCUUCCUUGUGACAGGAAAUAAAUGUUACAACCAAAACAGAUCCGGUGCAAGAUACAUUGGCAACAAUCUGAAAAUAAAAACACAGAUCAUUAUAUCGCCUUUGAAUGCAGCAUUUUUCUCAAAUUUCAGAAAUGAGUGUAAGCGGUCUCAGAUUGUAAAAAGUGAACCAGACAUCACUCUCAGUAGUUUUUUAACUAUAAAAUUUACUCUGAUGUCGGCAUAGUUAUGUAGCUCAAAUGUAUGAAUCCAAGCCCUGGCUUUGUUCAAACUGAACAAAAAGAAAGAAUAUAAUCCACAUCAUCUUUAAUGACCCAAAGCAAAACAUGAUCUAUAAACUUUUCAAAAGAAUGCACACCCUAUUAGCUAUAUUAAACGAAAGCAAUGAAAAAUACUCUCCCUCCCAGGAAAAAAAACAAGAAGAAAAGAAAAGAAAAUGAAAGGAAAAUAGUGAGAGUGGCAAGCAAGGAAUAAAAAAGUCUUUCCAUUACAAAGGAAGCGGGAGAGAAGCGGAAGCGAAUACCAUAAGCGAGCGUAGCCGAUGCUUCCGCCCCGCCAGGCCCCUCUCCUUCCUCUCUUUCUCCGACUGAAGGGC
rnacentral:lncRNA from 1 species